GAUGAACGCUGGCGGCAUGCCUAACACAUGCAAGUCGAUCGAUAAGGCUCUUCUGAUUUCACGAGAGUCAGACUGCUGAGCAACGCGUCGGAACACACCCUACCGCGAGGGAAAAGUCACCUAAAGGUGUGGUAAUCCCGCAUACGCUCUUCGGAUUACAGCAUUUAUUCGUUGAAGCAGUGGCCUGCGUCAUCUUAGAUAGUUGGUGAGGUAAUGGCUCACCAACUCGAUGAUUUGUUGCUGGGCUGGGAGGAGGCUCAGCCAGAAUGGAAAUGAGACACGGGCCAGAAUCCUACGGGAGGCAGCAGGGAGGAAUAUUUCACAAUGGGCGAAAGCUUGAAGGAGCAAUGCCGGGUGCAGGAUGAAGGCCUUCGGGUUGUAAACUGCUUUUAUAAGGGAAGAUUAUGACGGUAACAUAUGAAUAAGGAACGGCUAACUACGUG
rnacentral:rRNA from 1 species